rnacentral:tRNA from 1 species
GAGAGAGGUUCGCCAACCCAGAAGACUGCUAAUCUUCACCCCCUCGGUUGAACUCCGGGGCUCCCUCA